rnacentral:lncRNA from 1 species
CACCUCCACUCUAUCUCUCUCAAUCUAGUAGAAACUAGAAGAUCUAUUUCUACUUUACAUUGGUUGCUAAGCCUAAAAAGAAAUAUUAUUUAGAGAAGAGGUUUUCCUUCGAGGGCACAGUUGACACCAGAAGUGGCAAACGGUUAUACCGCAAGCGUACGGUAGUCAAUGUAGCCUUCACCGGGAGUAUUCCAGGUAUCGUGAUUUCCACAGGGAACGCGAAGUGAAUUAACUAGGCUUU